CCUACGGGGGGCAGCAGUGGGGAAUAUUGGGCAAUGGAGGCAACUCUGACCCAGCAACGCCGCGUGAAUGAUGAAGGUCUUCGGAUUGUAAAGUUCUUUUCUAAGGGAAGAAGAAAGUGACGGUACCUUAGGAAUAAGCCUCGGCUAACUACGUGCCAGCAGCCGCGGUAAUACGUAGGAGGCAAGCGUUAUCCGGAAUGACUGGGCGUAAAGGGUGCGUAGGUGGUUUGACAAGUUGGUAGCGUAACUCCGGGGCUCAACUUCGGAACUACUACCAAAACUGUUGGACUCGAGUGCAGGAGAGGCAACUGGAAUUUCUAGUGUAGCGGUGGAAUGCGUAGAUAUUAGGAGGAACACCAGUGGCGAAGGCGGCUUACUGGACAGUAACUGACGUUGAGGCUCGAAAGCGUGGGGAGCAAACAGGAUUAGAUACCCCAGUAGUC
rnacentral:rRNA from 1 species